GGACUUCCGCCGGCGCCCCCUCCCCCGCGGCGCCGUCUCCUCCUCCAGCCUGAGGCGAGUCUGGGCUAAGCCUGGAGCUCUCCGGCCGCGGCGCAGCUUCAGGGCAGCGCGAGCUGCAGCGGCGGCGGCGGUUAGGGCUGUGUAGGGCGAGGCCUCCCCCUUCCUCUUCGCCAUCCUACUUCUCCCUCCUCGCCAUCCUCCCCCUUCGUCCUCCUCGCCUUCCUCCUCGUCAGGCUCGGCCGAGCUGUGAGCCGCAAGAUGGCGGCGCCCAGGCCGCCGCCUGCCAGGCUGUCGGGCGUCAUGGUGCCGGCACCCAUCCAGGACCUGGAGGCCCUGCGAGCGCUCACGGCGCUCUUCAAAGAGCAGCGGAACCGAGAAACAGCACCCAGAACUAUCUUCCAAAGAGUUCUGGAUAUCCUAAAGAAAUCUUCUCAUGCUGUUGAGCUUGCCUGCAGAGAUCCAUCCCAAGUGGAAAACCUGGCUUCCAGUCUGCAGUUAAUAACAGAAUGCUUCAGGUGUCUUCGCAAUGCUUGCAUAGAGUGUUCUGUGAACCAGAAUUCAAUCAGGAACUUGGAUACGAUUGGUGUUGCUGUUGAUUUGAUUCUUCUGUUUCGUGAACUGCGAGUGGAACAGGAAUCUCUGUUGACAGCUUUUCGCUGUGGCCUGCAGUUUUUAGGCAACAUUGCCUCACGGAAUGAAGAUUCCCAGUCUAUUGUUUGGGUGCAUGCUUUCCCAGAACUGUUUUUGUCUUGCUUAAAUCACCCGGACAAAAAAAUUGUUGCCUACUCUUCAAUGAUUUUGUUUACAUCCCUUAAUCAUGAAAGAAUGAAAGAACUGGAGGAAAACCUCAAUAUUGCGAUUGAUGUCAUAGAUGCUUACCAAAAACAUCCUGAAUCAGAAUGGCCGUUCUUGAUUAUUACAGACCUCUUUCUGAAAAGCCCGGAAUUGGUACAAGCCAUGUUUCCCAAACUGAACAAUCAAGAAAGAGUUACACUGUUAGACCUUAUGAUAGCCAGGAUAACGAGUGAUGAGCCACUCACCAAGGAUGACAUCCCUGUGUUUUUGCGGCAUGCUGAAUUGAUUGCAAGCACCUUUGUGGAUCAGUGCAAGACUGUGCUCAAGUUGGCCUCUGAGGAGCCUCCUGAUGAUGAGGAGGCGCUGGCUACGAUUAGGCUUCUCGACGUCCUGUGUGAAAUGACUGCGAAUACUGAGCUGCUCGGCUAUCUGCAGGUUUUCCCUGGCUUGCUGGAAAGAGUGAUUGAUCUUUUACGGGUGAUUCAUGUAGCUGGAAAAGAAACCACAAACAUCUUCAGUAAUUGUGGUUGCGUGAGAGCAGAAGGUGACAUCUCCAAUGUGGCCGAGGGGUUUAAGUCUCAUCUCAUUCGUCUGAUUGGAAAUCUAUGUUACAAGAAUAAAGAUAACCAAGACAAGGUAAAUGAGCUGGAUGGUAUCCCGUUGAUCCUGGACAACUGCAACGUCAGUGACGGUAACCCCUGUAUCCUUGCAUGUGAAUUACCAUGCACAAGUUUACAGCCGGGGCCCUUAGCAAAACAAGUCCCUUUCCUCAUGUUCAUUGAGUAUGUAGCUGGCUGCCUUGCUUGCUUGUUUACUUGUUCCUGAGAACCAAAUCAUUUUCUCAGAGUUAUGGUGCUAGAAUAUCAUUUCUGUAACCUUUGUAAUAUGGUAAGCUAAUUUUUUCAAGGUGAAUAAGACAUUACAAAUGAGCAUGUGGCCAAAAAGCACUUUAAAACCUGGGGCAGUGGCAGCCCAUGCAAGGCACUGUGCUGCACAUCACCAGUGUCACCUUUCCAGUGUGUAUGUGGUCUUUAGAGUAAACAUGAACUAUUGUACAUUGUUUUGUUAUAGAGAUUUUGAGUAUCCAGUCUUUUGGAAGUACUAUUUUAACAAGGGUUUGGCAUCAUAGAAACAUGAGGUGCACUCUGGCUCCCUAGUAAGAGGAAGGAGCAUUUCAGUGGUGCUGAAUUCUCAUCUUCGGAGGGUUUGUCCUGCAGCCCUCUGCUGCAGAAGCUGAGAGCGCUGGCUCUUGCCCUGGCUUGGGUUGGCCACCCUUGCUGGAGGGUGUUCUGCAGGGACCCUGCUUUUUUCCUACCAGUUCAAGUAAUUGUACUAUACAAAACUGUACAGUGGUGAGUAACCAGGGACCAGAUACAGCUUGUUUAGAUUUGAGAUAAAACCUACUGUUUAAUUUCACGAACUUCCCUGGUGAAAGCCAAACUUAGCUGUGUUCCUUGUCCUGGUCACUGCUUGGCUGGUGGUGGGGCAGGGGUGAAUAAGGCUACUGCAAGGACUGGGAGUGUAGCCUGCGGGAGGCAGUGAGGAGCCCAGCCUAGCAUUGAGGAGACUGAGGAGGGGGGGCAUUUUAAAAAUAAAACUGUGGCUUCUGCCAAGAAGAGAAAAGCAGCUGAUGAAAAUCAUGUGUUUCAAAGUUAAGUAGACUGAGCAAUGCUUAUUAUUUGUGCUGAAGAUACUGUCAUUUGUCUGAUUAGCAAUAGAAAACAAUCUUACUUUAAAGAGCACAGUAGCUUGUAAGUUCAGUCAGGAAAAGACAAAUACACAGCCUCAGAAGACUCCUCUGCAGGGUAAAGCAAAUUUGGUUUAGUGCAUGGCAUUAUCAUGAGUCCCUGCAGGCUGUGCUCAUUAAAGAGUGUUGACGUUUUUUUAGCCCCCCAAAAAGGAAAGAAAAAAGAAGAAAGCUUCUAGUCGUGGGAAAGCAGUGCAAGAAUGUUCAGGCCGUCAGCAUAUGGGAUGAAGCCAACCCACCCUGGGGAGGACUGUCUGCAUUAUUCCGUCCAGAUGCCAAACUGUUCUGGAAACACCCUCAUCGACACACCCAGAAAUAAUGUGUAACCAGAUAUCUGGGCAUCCUAUGGCCCAGUCACGUUGACACAUAAAAUUAACCAUCACAAGUUCA